rnacentral:rRNA from 1 species
AACAUCGUCUUUUGAUAAUACAAUCAUAAAAGAUAAUGCCUGCCCAGUGAAAUUUUAAACGGCCGCGUUAGCGUGAGCGUGCUAAGGUAGCGUAAUAAUUAGCCUUUUAAUUGGAGGCCAGUGAAUGGCAAGACUAGGAACACCUUUACUUUAUGUAUAAAAAAAACUUUUCAUCUAAGUGAAAAGACUUAGAUAAUAAAGGUAGACGAAAAGACCCCGCGGAACUUUACCUUUUCCUAUACUACAGUGCAUUUACUUAAAAGUAUUUAAGGUUUGAUUGGGGCAAUCUUGGAACCAACAAAGCUUCCAAUUUUUUAAAAAACCCAUUUAAAAUUUAUUACGGACCAAAAAGAAGUUACCCCGGGGAUAACAG